GGAUCGUGAGCAGCAUUGGUGACUGCAACGGACUGUAAAUCCGUCGCCCCUCGGGGCAGCUAGGUUCGAAUCCUAGACGAUCCACCA
rnacentral:tRNA from 1 species